rnacentral:rRNA from 1 species
UACGUAGGGUGCAAGCGUUGUCCGGAAUUAUUGGGCGUAAAGAGCUCGUAGGCGGUUUGUCGCGUCGGGAGUGAAAACCUCGGGCUUAACUCGGGCUUGCUUUCGAUACGGGCAGACUAGAGGUAUGCAGGGGAGAACGGAAUUCCUGGUGUAGCGGUGAAAUGCGCAGAUAUCAGGAGGAACACCGGUGGCGAAGGCGGUUCUCCUGGGCAUGAUCUGACGCUGAGGAGCGAAAGUGUGGGGAGCGAACAGG